GACGAACGCUGGCGGCGUGCCUAAUACAUGCAAGUCGAGCGAAGUUUUUCUGGUCCUUGCACUAGAAAAACUUAGGCGCACACGGGAGAGUAACACGUAAAGAACCUGCCUCAUAGACUGGGAAAACUGUUGGAAACGAUAGCUAAUACCGGAAAACAGUAAUUCUCGCAUGAAAGAUAUUUAAAAGUUGGUUAUGCUAACUCUAAGAUGUGGCUUUGCGGUGCAUUAGCUAGUUGGUGGGGUAAAGGCCCACCAAGGCGACGAUGCAUAGCCGACCUGAGAGGGUGAUCGGCCACACUGGGACUGAGACACGGCCCAGACUCCUACGGGAGGCAGCAGUAGGGAAUCUUCCGCAAUGGGCGAAAGCCUGACGGAGCAACGCCGCGUGAGUGAAGAAGGAUUUCGGUUCGUAAAGCUCUGUUGUUAGGGAAGAAUGGAUAUGUAGUAACUAUACAUGUAAGAGACGGUACCUAACCAGAAAGCCACGGCUAACUACGUG
rnacentral:rRNA from 1 species